AUUGAACGCUGGCGGCAUGCUUUACACAUGCAAGUCGAACGGUAACAGGCCGCAAGGUGCUGACGAGUGGCGAACGGGUGAGUAAUGCAUCGGAACGUGCCCAGUCGUGGGGGAUAACGUAGCGAAAGCUACGCUAAUAUCGCAUACGAUCUAUGGAUGAAAGCGGGGGAUCGCAAGACCUCGCGCGAUUGGAGCGGCCGAUAUCAGAUUAGGUAGUUGGGGGGGUAAAGGCUCACCAAGCCGACGAUCUGUAGCUGGUCUGAGAGGACGACCAGCCACACUGGGACUGAGACACGGCCCAGACUCCUACGGGAGGCAGCAGUGGGGAAUUUUGGACAAUGGGCGCAAGCCUGAUCCAGCAAUGCCGCGUGCAGGAUGAAGGCCUUCGGGUUGUAAACUGCUUUUGUACGGAGCGAAAAGGCUUCCACUAAUACUGGGGGCUCAUGACGGUACCGUAAGAAUAAGCACCGGCUAACUACGUGCCAGCAGCCGCGGUAAGAC
rnacentral:rRNA from 1 species